rnacentral:lncRNA from 1 species
AGCUAACUAAAGCUCCCAUUGUGUUUACAGAUUUCUUCUCGAGGCAUUUUUAAUGCUGUUUUGCACGUUGGGAGAGAGAGUUUAUUUAGAAACAAAUGGGAGACCAAGAGAGGAGUCUUCUUCUUUCUUUCUUUCUUUUCUUUUUUUAAUUGAUGUCCAUUUACACCUCAGCCCAGUUAACUCCACAAAUUCCUGACUCCCGAGGAGGAGUCUUGUCACAGGGCUGCCUGCCUGCGGCCAUCAGCCAUGGUUUCUUUUUGAACAAGCUUUUCUUUUAACACUUAAAACCAGGGAUGAUUUAACAGAGAGUGUCUCAAGUCUGUGAGCUACAGCCCCCUUAGACUGUACCCAAACAAAGCUACUAAUGUGUGGUCAGUUUCUUGGCAACUCCACUCUCGGCUGAUAACGCUCCUGCUUGCAAUUCUCCAAGGAGCCGGCUGCUGGAAGACUGCUCCGAGCCUCAUCCCCUUGGUGCUCCUGAUGCGGGCGAUCCUCCGACUGCACGGCGCCAACCACAACAUGCUACCCACCGUGAGAGAGCAGGACGCGGGCUGCUCUAGUCAGGACUUAUCGUCUAUCAUACUGAUUGACGAAACCAAGAGUGAGCAGAAAAAAUAAACACGAACAGAGGCUGCAGUGUAUGGGCCAGUCUGCUGGGAGUUUUAGUAUUUGGCCUUGGUGAUCCUACUCUCAUGGUAGGUUAUCUUUUCCUCGUGCUAUCAUUUAUCAUAACUUUGAGGGCCAGGGAGAGAAACAAACCUACAAUUUUUUUCUAUUGGUUACAUUCAUUAGACUGCUUUCUUUCUUUCUUUCUUCCCUCCCACCCCCUUUUCCUUAGCACUCUUUCCUUUGCCCCCACCCCACCCCACCGCACCCCAUAAUAAUCCCAUCUCUUCAAAUAGUAUUCCCUAAAGAAUGGUGAAAUGAAAUCUAAAUACAGUCCUUCCCCCUUUUUACUCCUGUUCCACAUAGAUCAUUGCAAGUAAUUAACCUUUGUUAUUCCAUCAAAUCUAGAAUGCAAAACCUACAUGUUAAUUUGCUUAAGUCAGACCCAAUAAUAAAUCUGCUUCUGUAGCAGCUAAACUCAAUGAAGAUCCUGGAUGUUGUUCAGUUAUUUGGAUAGCUAGCAUCUUCUUCUUAAAUAAUGGCACUUGACUUUUUCAGGCACAAACCAUGUUUUGUAUUGGACUUGACAGCCACUAUAAAGUACUCCCCCAAGUGUCAGUAACAAAGAUGAUUUGUAUGUGGCUUGCAGUCUUCCAGUGUCCUAAUAGCUUUCUCAUUCCAACCCAGAAACAUGGAACACAGGGCUGCUGGUUAAAGCUGAUACAAGCAUUUCUUCUCUCAGCAGGCUAUUCUUGCAUAACCAUUUAUUUUGCAGAGUUUUAAAGUGCCUGAAGGAUUUAAUUAUGUACAUAGACAACCCCUAUAAACUCUAUUCUAGGGUUUUUAUUGACUUUUGUACUGGGCAGCUCUUAGGCAUUUCAAUUAAGUGUUUUUAUAAGAAAAACUUACAAUAUUGUAAAAAAAAAAAACUUUUUUCUUUAUAGAUACUUCCAAACAGGUUUCUUCCCCUCACCUGACUGAAUAAACUAUUCAAUUGACAAAACAAAGCAAAACAAAAAUACAGGUUAAUUCAAGGUUUAGUUUUUCCAGUUUGGGAAAAUAGAGGGUUGAAAAACCACACAGGUUUGUGAAAAUAGACCUGUCGAUAUCAGGGAAAUGACAUAGACAGAGGGAGGAGGUCAAGAUGACUUUGAAAUACACUCUGAAAUGUCACAAGGCUACCUGUUACUCAGGAGUUUCCUUAAACUCAUGAGGGUAAAAACCUAAAUGCAAAAUUUUACAUGUUCCACUUAACAAGUGCAGAAUAAUAAAUUACCAAAUUCAUUUGGAGCACCCGCCUGACAGACCUAACCCUCAAAAGUCUCCAGGAGACCCCAAAGCCGCCUUUGUCUGCCUUCUUCAAUUGCAGGGCUCAAGUAUUUACAAGGCUUCUGCAAACCUGCCUUCAUUAUGAUGUGGGAUAUUUCAAGCCCAGCAGGUGGCCAACAGGAGACCAGACCUGCCCGUGAAAUAUGUAAUACUUUUUCAUAUACUUUAACCAGAAAUGUGCCCCUCCACAACUCUCCUAAGUGUUCUAAUUUCCCUUUCUCCUCUUAAUCUCCUCAGCAAGUCAUGAGCAUGCAUUAAAAUCUACCUAAAACAUUUCACCCACAGGCAAUGUAAUUCUGAAACAAGCAACCAACAUUUCACAGCUCUGGAGUAAUAGAUUAAUUUGAACCUAAUGUUGCCGUCGUUUACUGCUCCAAAUGUUCUGGUGUAGACAUAGCCCUGAGGCAUGGUGCUGUGGCAUGCACAACUUUGGGAGCCGGAGCUACAGUUGGCUUAACAUCUGUGCAUCAGAUUUGCCAUGUGCCUCAUUAUCCUGCACCCCACUGUGCCUACCUGUCCCCCUCAGCUUCUCAGCCACAGGCGAUCUAAUUUUUUUCCCCUCCAACUAAGAAUCUUUGUUCUCCUUCUCACUUACUAAAUUUUUGCAAGACCUCUGCACCCAAGCCGUGGGGAUUCGGUCCAUGUGAACAGCUCAGGCCCUUUUAGAUUCUUAAUUCUCCAUUAGGAAGAGGAAAAUUACAGCAUUGAGUUUCUGACAUGCCACUGCAUAAAUUGUGCCAUUUGCAGAACCUACUAGAGUCUGUGACUAAACUCAUAGGCGUGUAAUAAAGCAUGGUGUUGUUGGUUUUGACUUUAACAAGUUUGGUUGGCUUCAAUUAUCUGUAAGCAAAUAAAGAGUAACUUCCAACUCCAGAUGGAAGAAGAACCAAAAAACCAAAUCCAGUCACAGAAAAAUAAGACUGUCACAUCAAAACUUAAAACUAAUAUAUGUGUAAUAUGAAUUGUAAGGCAUUCUGCUGUCAUAUAUAACAAAGUAGAAUAAAAAAAAUCUAAGCAUCUUAAUCUAUUUAAGGAGUUAGCAUUUCAAAGCUCAUUGCCACAAACAGUUGAUACAUAUAACAACCCUAUCCCCUCACAAAAAUAAAAAAUAGAAAAAACAAGGCUUUAAAAUAUAUCUAGCAACCAGGCCAAACAGCUGCUUGAAUUUUAAUCCUGCUUAAACAAUAAAAGAAUCAUAGGACUCCUUUAUUGGUUUUCCAUUGGAAGUGUUUUGGGUACCUAUUUAACAAGAGACAGAAUAAAGACUUAGUCCCACCAAAAUUAUUUAAAAUAUUCAAAACUCAAAUAAUACUUAUCAUCACAAAAUUUUGGCAUUAAUAAUAAUAGCAUCAAUAAUAAAAUAUUGAUGUGAUUAAUGAAAAGCACAGAAUAGCCAUACUAGUGUUAAAUGUAGAAAUGCCACUGUCCUUGCCACAAGAUAGGAAGAAAAUUUCAAACCAGAGGACUGAGCUUCAAAAAGGCCAAAGUUAUGAAUGAAGAAGAUUUAAAACAGUAUCUACAUAUUUGUCAAGCUGGAUUUAGAUAGUAGCAUUUAACCAAGGUGACUUAGUGUUCUUUAAUUAUUUACUAACAUCAUAAGGAAUAUUUUACUCUAGGCAUUAGAAAAUGAGUUUUAAAUGAUUGUUUUCCUAGAACUAAUAAAUUUUUAAAAAUUAAUCAGAUUCAAACAAUUCAUACAAACCAUUAUCCAUAGUUUUAAUCCUUAGAGAAUAAAAUUGAGGCCCUGAGAGAGAAUUUUUCUAAUGCCCUCCCCAUGUAAAAAUAUGCGCUGCUCCAGAAAUUGUAUUGGAUUUCCACACUUGCCCACAUAAUCCUCAACAUCUACACAGUACAGAGUGUUGAGUCUUGCACAUUUCAUUAUAUGCUUGAAUUCAUUUACCCUAUAUGGAAUUUGUUACCUUUACAGUAAAAAAGUCGCUAUUCAUUAUUGAGAGUGGACAGAUGGAACAUGUUCAACUUAAGACAUCAAUAAGAAGAGAGGGAAAAACUUAUAAUCCAUGUGGCACAGCCUCCUCCAUCUGGUAGUUCCCCGCUUGUCUGCCAAGACUUUUUUUUCCAAAUAAAAGAGAACAUUUCUCUUUGGAGUAAAUGGAACAUUCUCAGAUAUUGACCCUGAUUCUGAUUUAUACAUAAUAAGCAAGCAUGCUAUUAAAAUAUGAUAUGUUCCAAAAGUAAUGUGUAUCAUUAGGGGAAGGUUUUGAGCCUAAUUGGAAAAAAAAAAAGUUAAUUAGAACUAUUUUUCUAAAAGCAUUAUCAGAUAAACAAAUUAGUUUUUUCUAUGAUAGAUCAUGAAGGCAAUUGAACAAGUUAUUUCACCCUUUUAAAGAACAUAUUGAAAGCUACAUAAAUACAAAAUUGGACCAGGAAAGUGGCUGGCAAUCUGAGACAGGAGGACUACAUUUGUACAUCCUUCCCAAGCCCUGGAUCCCAUACAUGAUGCCUGAUGUCUAAGGGAAGAAGCUCAGUCCACACUUACAUCCCAAACCACAGCUGUCGGGAUCAAUUUGCUAAAAUCCAGCACACAAGACUAUCACUCUUUGGCAUGAGUUAAAUCCUAUCAUAUCUCCAAAAGUUAAUCAAACAAUUUCAUUUAAUAAAUCAAGGCAAAGUAUAUGGACCUCUCAUGUAUUUCUUCAACCCUCACAUUUGCUCCUUAUUUCUGUUGUUCUUUGAAUAAGCCAUCAUGUCUUUGCAUGAUAGAAAAUGAACAGGUUCUUUGAUUGUUAAUGUGCCAACUCCAGGAUGUACAAAUAAUAUUGGGGAGUCCAUGUCCAUUUCUCUGACAAUGCUCUACUGAUUAAAGAGAUCCUUGUAGGGGGAAAAAAGAGCUGACCAUAUACCUACUUUAUUUAUUUGGGAAUUGACAGAUACUUUAAUGUAAUAUAAAAUAUUUUAAGUUUAUUUCUUUAAAUGAUUUCUAAAAAUUUCAGCAAUGUAGGCAAUAAGCACUCUCACUAGUUUUGAUAUUGAGAAAUUUUUAAAAUUAAGACUUCUCUGACCUACAUUUAAGUUGAAUCUUUGAACACUAAAAUUGGGUCUUUACAAAAAGUGCUUUUCUCCAAAUUACUUUGUUAAAUUCAGUUAAACUGGAAUUUAGGGGUCAGAAGCUUGUUGACUUCCACCCAGUUGCAUCACUAGCUAGCUGCUCAAUUUCUUCAUCUCUAUAAUGAGAAUUAUUAUAAUGCCUACUUUGUGGACCCUUGUGAAGAUUAAAUGAGAUGAUAUGUAUAAGCGCUUAUGAUAAUACUAAGACUGUGUAAAAGUAACAUAUCAGCUACUAUUUUAAUAUUAUGUGUGCAUUUUGGAUUUUUAAAAAAAUAUUUAUUCUUUAGUUAUAGAUGGACACAAUAUCUUCAUUUUAUUUUUAUGUGGUGCUGAGGAUCAAACCCAGUGCCUCAUGCAUGGUAGGCAACUGCUCUACCCUUGAGCCAUAACCCCAGCCCACAUUUUGGAUUUUUAACAAAAUUUAAACUAUAUAUAACAUCACUAGAAUUGCAUUGGGUAUUAUCUGGGGAAAUCACUCUAAAUCCAUUAAUCUGAUUCUAAGGAGGUAAUUAUAAUCUGUAGCCUGAAUUCAGACCCUCUGAUGAAAACAUAGAAAUUUGGCAAUUUGGUGGUUCUCAACGACCUUUCUAACUACUUCUUUGGGUCCUUGCCCAGCAAAACCUAUUUCAGUUAUUUGCAUAAAUGCGUAAUCAUCAAAUCAAAUAAAAAUCUGUUAAAUCUACCCCUCUUUUUGUAUUGCACAAAUUCUUAAUUUAACUUUCUACACAUAGCACAAGAUGUUCAUGGACGCAUUUCUAGACAUUAUUCUGCAAAUACCCUUUUGUCUCCUGUCCGUUUGACAUUUCUCCAUUCAUCUCCCUUUUCAGAAGUUAUAAGCUAAAUUAUGUCCUUCCAAAAUUGACACUUUAAUGCCCUAAUGCCCAACCACAGAAUAUGAAUGUAUUUGGAGAUAAGAAUUUUUAAAAGUGGUUAGUUAAAAUGAUGCCAUUAGGAUAGGCCAAAACCCAAUCUGACUAGUGUCCUUAUAAGAAGAGGUAUUUGGGACACACACAGACACCAUGGGCAUGCAUGCAUAGGGGAAUGACAACAUGAGAGGGCACAAAAGAGAGGGGAGUGAUCAUCCAGCCAAGGAGAGAGGCUUUAGGAGCUACAAAGCCUACCAACACCUUGAUCUUGAACUUCUUUUCACUGCUGAAUCCAUCUAGUCUGGUACUUUGUUAGGAGAGCACUAGUAAACUAACAGAGUACAUUCAAUUUUCCAUUCACUGACUCAUUUGUAAGCGGGGCUCCAGGCUUCCCCUCUCUCCCAAAUGCCCUAUCUUCCAGCAUAUUCUACAAUGCAUCUUACUUAUUUAAAGGUCUGAGAGCCCAGGAAUCUGAGAUUUCUUAGGCUAGGAAUGAAUCCAUGUCCCUUUGUUUACCUAGCAUGGACCAUGUACUUGGCAGAGUUCCUGGAUUAGUGAAUGAAUGAAUGGAUGGAUGGAUGAAAAACACCUAACUGGCUACCACAUCAAAAUAAGGAAUAAGAACUACUUAUAAAAAUUGGAAAGACACUACUAUAACACAAACCCAUUUCUGACUGCAUCCAAAUCAUCCCUGUACCCAAUAUCUAGUGGCACUACCUAGUGUCACUGCAAAGGAAAGGACACAAAACUGUAAAAUAACACACAGUUCUAUGAUUUCUGGACUAUUAUGAACAGUUCAAUCAAUAAAACCUACAAAUAUUGUUUGCCUAAGAUUUGAAAAUCUUCCUUGGCUCCCUGUACAAUGCAGAGGUACAGCUACUCUAAUUCAGACCAAUCUGUGCCCUUUCCACUUUGAGGACUAGAACAGCAUUUCUGAGAACAGAAAGUCGAGCCUAUUAUGGCAACCAGCUUUUUAAAACCUUGGUUCUUAAAAACCUGCUUUUAAAUGAAGUUAUGUGGUAAUAAAAUGUGAUACAGUCUGGAUUGUAUUGAUAUGGAAUUAUGGAAUUGAUGCUAUAUACUAACAUUUUGGUACAAUGACUUAGAACAUACUUUAAAGCCCCAAAAGAGCCCUCGCACAGCAUACCAGCAUUAUGGGCACUUUAGUUAGAUCACUCAUUCAUGGUACAAAAAGCCAGAAGGUGGCUCUCUGGAAUUCCUGGUAAUGAAAGGACAAAGAAUUAAGGUGAACCAACUAAUUUAAAUUUCACACUCUCCCUUCCAAUAAUUGAAGGGAACUGAGGUUGCAAAUCCUGUUUCAGAAUUUACUUUCAAAAUUCAAGAAAACACUGUGAGCAGACAUCUAAUUUUUAAUGGUACUUAGGUUCUGCAUAUGAUUAAGCACAAACUUGCAAAGAAUUACUCACAACACCAAUGCCAUGGAGCUAUUCUCAAACUUGCUGGAGCCAGGAGUAUUUGGAAGGGAAAUGGGGGCAGGCGACCUGAAGCCCACUCCCUUGGGUCAGUGCAUGCUAGGAGGGGAAAUGAGCUACAGAGCAGACAAUUUUCAGCAUCAGUGGUUUUACUUUCUUUACCAGGCCUCACAAAAACACACUGACAAAACAAAGGACACAAAAUUAAUGACCCAUGCAUUCUGUCAAUUGACUCUUAGUAGCAGUGGCCAGUUCACCUUAAUUUUUUUGUUCACAUUGAACAUGUAGCCCAAGGCAUUGGUUAAGGUUCACUUAAGAAUUCUUCAAAGGCAUCACUUGGUUUUCAUUAAUUUGUUAACUGUAACUUCUCCUUUCUGCUAAGGAACCCACAUACCAAGUAAAGACCUUUAUGCAAAAUGAAAAAACAAAAGACACAUGUUUGACCAACCAGCUGGUUUUUUUCCCCUUCCUUUGCCCUAGAGUAAUCACUUCCCAUUCAUGAAUAUUAGAGUAAAUUACACCCAUCAGAUUUUUAUAGCACUUAAAUUAUAGUUAAACCCUCUUGUUGUUCUCAGAAAUCCAAGUGUCAACUCUCAGCUAUUGCAGAGGAAUAAGUUACACUGUAGCCUGUUAUUUCUGUGAGUAAUUAUUUCCUAAUUAUUCCUGUGGUCUUUAACCAUGAUUUUUGAUGAAAUUCAAUUUGAUUAUGCAUGAAACAUGGCCAGCUAAAUAAAAUUUAUGGAUUGAUGAGGAAUAUGAAUUCAAAAGAGCUAAAAAUGCAACUUUGUAUUUACAUGUCUAUAUAGAGAUCAUGCUGCCCUUAAAAUGCAGGUUGUUUGCACUGAAAAUAUCUUUCACUUACUGGACCACAAUGGACAUUUUGAUAAUAGAAUGAUUUUUUUUUUUCAUUUGCUCAAUAAUCACAAAGAAGUUCAUCUCUAUAAAUAUCCCUUUGGAAAAAAUUUUAAAAUGUAAAACACUUUUCCAAAAACAUAUCUAAUGAAUACUAAGACAUCAAUGGCAGGGCCUGAAUUUUCUUUUAUCCAAUUCAGAUCCAGAAUAUGGAAUGAGAAAACAGUUGAUUUUGAGCCUCAAAGGAAGUUAGUAGUUUUUUAACAUUUCUAUUCAUAAAAAUGUGGUAUCAAGACAGUUUAAAGUGUGAAAGAGCCUACCAUAGGGACAUUUGGUAGUUUUUAGCAAAGGAAAUGGAUUCCAUGAAGCAAAUGCGCCAUUCCUUUCUACAAACUUCUCAAACAGUUAUAAAAUAUGAUAGUGAUGCUUGGUUGGUAUAACUUUACGUUAGUUGGAUCUGUCAGCAUUUCCAUUACGAACCCUUGAUUUUCAAGGUUUUAUAAUUCAGCUGUGAAAAGUUGCUCUAGAAAGAAAGUUGGCAAGACAGUCUCAGCCAGGGAGUUUAUCAAAUUGAACAAAUCUUUGUUUAGCUAUCUCUCAGUUCUGUGAGCCAAGGUCUACUCCCAGUUAGACAUGCCAAACUUCCAAUGACUUCAGUGCCAGGGAGAGGUUUUUUCCUCUCUCUCUUUAAAUUCACUUCACAAGAGCUUCUCUCAUUCUUGUUUCAGAAGCCGCCAGGACCCAGCUCAUAUCCUGUGUAACCCAGUGGGAGAAGAGCCACAUCAUAUGUAACCCUGUAGGACACAUGAAUGGAGUCCUGGCCAAGUGUCUCCAGCAUGAAAUGUGGAUAGUACUACAGAGAGACUUGGAGCUUUUGAAUAUGUAUAUAAUUAAAAUGUAGACACAUCAUACCUCUGCUUGCACAGAGAAGUGGUGCUCAUUUAUUUAGAGCUUUGUCAACUGUGGGAGCGCACAUGUACUUCAGGGGAGUUCUAAUUAAGGAGAAUACCAAUGUACUGCUGCAUUAUCUUUGAAGAGUGAGAGAGGGAAAAGGGCAAGCUAAACUGUGUACAUUAUUUAUUCUAGACCUCCUAUACAGCUUUUAGACAUAUAUUUAUUUUACUGAAGUUGAGGUGUUAAGAAUGUAUAUAAGCCUGUUCUUGAUCAGAGUAGGAAAAAGGUAGUUUUUAUCAAAUGUAAAAUUAUGCUAUUUAUCAAAUACAAGAUGUUUAGAAGAGAUAGUCCCAGACAAGAUGGUAUAAUAGUUCAUUCUAAAAGACUGUCUAUUAAAAUAUUUAUUAAAACAUUUAUCUAUUCAUGUAACAGCUUUCAUUUGAGGUUAUUUGCUUAGACAUACUAGCCUGGAUAUAUUUCACAAGUAAAAACACAAAUCAGACAGAAAUUCUUCACAAAAUAAGGUGGUUUUUUGUUUGUUUGUUUGUUUUGUUUUGUUUUUGUUUUUUUGGUGGUGGGGAUUCAACCCAGGGCAUUUUACAGCUGAGCCACAUCCCCAGCCCUAUUUUGUGAUUUAUUUAGAUAUAGGAUCUCACUGAGUUGCUUAGCACCUCACUUUUGCUGAGGCUGGCUUUGAACUCAUGAUCUUCCUCCUCAACCUCCCAAGCUGCUGAGAUUAUAAGUAUGCACCAUGGCACCCAGCACAAAAUGAGUUAUAAUUGUCAGAGGAGAUAGUAGGUAUGAACGUAAGAUAAAUCAUAAUAGGAGAUGGAAAUGCAAGGUAUCAGAAGGGAAAAACAGAAAGGAUGUUCUGGUAGGUUAGAAAAUGGAGGUGUAUAAUAUGCCAAGGUACAUAAUUAACAUAACAAAUUUCUACUGUUACACAGUAAGAUAUUUAAAUAUAG